AGCGAUGAAGCACCUUCGGGUGUGAAUUAGCGGCGAACGGGUGAGGAACACGUGAGAAAUCUGCCUUCAACUCUGGGAUAACUCCGUGAAAACGGGGCUAAUACCGGAUAUGAAACCUUCAGGCAUCUGAGGGUUUGGAAAGUUUUUCGGUUGAAGAUGAUCUCGCGGCCUAUCAUCUUGUUGGUGAGGUAAUGGCUCACCAAGGCGACGACGGGUAGCCGGCCUG
rnacentral:rRNA from 1 species